rnacentral:rRNA from 1 species
AGAGUUUGAUCAUGGCUCAGGAUGAACGCUGGCGGCGUGCCUAACACAUGCAAGUCGAGCGAUUCUCUUCGGAGAAGAGCGGCGGACGGGUGAGUAACGCGUGGGUAACCUGCCCUGUACACACGGAUAACAUACCGAAAGGUAUGCUAAUACGAGAUAAUAUGCUUUUAUCGCAUGGUAGAAGUAUCAAAGCUUUUGCGGUACAGGAUGGACCCGCGUCUGAUUAGCUAGUUGGUAAGGUAACGGCUUACCAAGGCGACGAUCAGUAGCCGACCUGAGAGGGUGAUCGGCCACAUUGGAACUGAGACACGGUCCAAACUCCUACGGGAGGCAGCAGUGGGGAAUAUUGCACAAUGGGCGAAAGCCUGAUGCAGCAACGCCGCGUGAGCGAUGAAGGCCUUCGGGUCGUAAAGCUCUGUCCUCAAGGAAGAUAAUGACGGUACUUGAGGAGGAAGCCCCGGCUAACUACGUGCCAGCAGCCGCGGUAAUACGUAGGGGGCUAGCGUUAUCCGGAAUUACUGGGCGUAAAGGGUGCGUAGGUGGUUUCUUAAGUCAGAGGUGAAAGGCUACGGCUCAACCGUAGUAAGCCUUUGAAACUGGGAAACUUGAGUGCAGGAGAGGAGAGUGGAAUUCCUAGUGUAGCGGUGAAAUGCGUAGAUAUUAGGAGGAACACCAGUUGCGAAGGCGGCUCUCUGGACUGUAACUGACACUGAGGCACGAAAGCGUGGGGAGCAAACAGGAUUAGAUACCCUGGUAGUCC